GGUGGCUCAGCGGUAGAGUACUUGCCUUGCAUGCAUGAGGCCCUGGGUUCAAUUCCUCAGCACCA
rfam:Dipodomys ordii contig_70502, whole genome shotgun sequence.